AGCUGUCAGUUACAAUCAGCUUAAGCACAGGUUCGAGUGGGACUGCUCCUGGAAGUCCAGGGCUAUUCCUAGUUAGCGUUUGCCCAAAACAACCAGGGGGUAUUUUCAGCACAUUCCUGAGACCAAAAAUAAGCCGUUUUCACAUGACAAACUUUCGGGAGCCUGGCCUCAAUGUCCAUUAUGGCUUUAGGCCGCUUCUCUGGGCCACUAGGGCAGGGAGCCGAUUUUUGCUGGUAGUCCAGGGUCACGCGGCAGAGGCAACGGGCUCCAGUUCCAGCAACCUGCAACCUGCCUCCUUAUUCUACAAAUGUUUACAGCUUCCAGAUCCCCGCGUGUGAAAUUAAAAUUAAAAAGCACGAAGGCUUAAGGUCCAACUAGUGACGAGUUCUCCCACCACAGUGAAUUGAUGUGAGUUUGUUUUGCGUUUGUUUAUGUUUUAAACUUAUCCAAUGCAAAUUCUUUCCCGAAACGGUGUCCUCUGUGUGCCUGUUCUGCUGCUGCCCUGGCACCUGUUCAGACCUUUGGGGACUCCUGAGCUAGGUAUCUGUUUAACACAGACCUGUUUGGGUCAGGGUUCCUGCCACUUGUCCACGGAACUGACAAACUAUCCAAAAGUAGUCACAGCCAACUACACCUCGAGGACCCGCUGGCGCGACCCCCGUGCCUCAGUUUACCCCCAGGGGCUGGUUGAGGCUUCGACAGGUGCUCAAGACCUGGGGCGCCUGAGUCCCAUCGCCGAGAAGUCUCAGCAAGUGGGCGAGUCCUCCUGACAGACGGUCCCCCUAAGAGGAGCGGUGCUGGCCUGUCCCCGCCCCGCCGGCCGCAGAGGAGGUUGCACUGAGUCUCAGAUUGCUCAUCCUUUUGGAAGUUUGAACCCCAUGCAGAGUAGCAAGAUGUCCUACAAAGCAUCCUGGUGAGAAAUACUGAUGUCCUUGGAAGCUUGACUCCCAGAGACUUUCAACCUGGAUUGUGGACAAAUAUGCCUAUUAAUACUGAGACCUAGAAUUGUGGAUCUGUGGUUGCACUCACAAGGAAACUCCUGGGAUAAUCCCUAGUGAUUCUGAAGAACUCCUGGAAGUCUUCCAAAUGGGAAGACAGAGACAGCCUCGACAUCAGGAGACUGUCUUGUGACUAUACACCAUUCUAAACUUCUGAACAUUUUUUAAACCAUGUAGUACUUUUUCCAUUAUAAUUACACAAAUUUAAAAUUUUA